UUUGCCCACCCAAAAGCAAUAUCCCCUCCGAGCUAGGCUUCCGGCCGCCGCCGACCUGCACCCCCCUUAGUCCCUCCUCUUCCUCCGGCUUGAGCAGCGAGGGAGACGAUUGGAGUCAUCCCUCCGAGCUAGGGUCCGGCCGCCGCCGACGCGCGCCCCCGUAGCGAUCGGAAUGACCCCUACGAACUAGGGUUCCGGCUAUCGCCGACGCGCACCACCGUGUGGCCCAGCUAGUUGAUCUACGGGCAGGCUGAUACGGUAGAUCAGGCGCCGCACAGCGAGGUGACGAGCUGGUCGAUCGUCGGCCAGGUGGCCAAGCCCGCCGGCACAGCGCCUCUCAAACGGCAUCCCUGGUUGGCGGCGGAGUUAGAGCGGUGGACGUUGUGCCGUCACCCAGCGGCUGCACGCGCAGCCGAAGCACCGCUCCUCCUGCCGUAACUUGGGUUGAGUGGCCUUACGUCGCCAUCCCUGAGGAGAAAGAGCGCAGUCUGCUCGCUGGUCUUGUCGCGGCGUCGAGCUGGAAUCAGCAUUGGGGGUGAUCCAUGCUAUUACAUGGCAGUUAGAUUUCUGAGUCCCUAAUUUCAGUUUGUGUCUGCCAUUCAGGACUAUUCAGUUCAGAACAUGAUACUUGAUCAUGGUUCCAUAUCAUUUUGUAGAUUUCCUGCGGGGUCUUUGUCAUGGGAAAACAGAUCAGUAUUUGAACACAACAGACGUCACGAGGACAUAAGCAAACUCACCAUGCCUGGUUUAGUUGCACAAAAGAAGGCAUUUUUUGAAGAAUAAUACAAGAAGAAGGCUCAGAAAGCUAUGCAUCUCACUGAAGCACAAUCUGAAGAAAUGAGUGAUGACAGUACACUCUGCAGGCACGACGACAAAGCACAUGCAGUUAUUUCCCGAAGAUCCUAUGGUUACUGCUCCAAGCUACAUCUCUGAACCAUCUACUGCUCCAAGGUCUGAAAGUGAAACAGGAGCCAUAUAAAAUGACUUUCCUGGAGCGUACUAAAGAAAGCUUUCACAUUGUCUGUUUCUUCCUCUCUUGGUUGAUUUAUGCAUACCAGUAAAUUUAUCUGAAAAGUUAUAGAGAAUAUUGUUUCAUAUCAAGUGAAUAACACUCUGUCUAAUUGGCACACUUCAUAAUUUAUUUGUGUUAUCUAUUUCA